rnacentral:rRNA from 1 species
CGCGAUACAGGGUGACAGCCCCGUACACAAAAAUGCACAUGCUGUGAGCUCGAUGAGUAGGGCGGGACACGUGGUAUCCUGUCUGAAUAUGGGGGGACCAUCCUCCAAGGCUAAAUACUCCUGACUGACCGAUAGUGAACCAGUACCGUGAGGGAAAGGCGAAAAGAACCCCGGCGAGGGGAGUGAAAAAGAACCUGAAACCGUGUACGUACAAGCAGUGGGAGCACGCUUAGGCGUGUGACUGCGUACCUUUUGUAUAAUGGGUCAGCGACUUAUAUUCUGUAGCAAGGUUAACCGAAUAGGGGAGCCGAAGGGAAACCGAGUCUUAACUGGGCGUUAAGUUGCAGGGUAUAGACCCGAAACCCGGUGAUCUAGCCAUGGGCAGGUUGAAGGUUGGGUAACACUAACUGGAGGACCGAACCGACUAAUGUUGAAAAAUUAGCGGAUGACUUGUGGCUGGGGGUGAAAGGCCAAUCAAACCGGGAGAUAGCUGGUUCUCCCCGAAAGCUAUUUAGGUAGCGCCUCGUGAAUUCAUCUCCGGGGGUAGAGCACUGUUUCGGCAAGGGGGUCAUCCCGACUUACCAACCCGAUGCAAACUGCGAAUACCGGAGAAUGUUAUCACGGGAGACACACGGCGGGUGCUAACGUCCGUCGUGAAGAGGGAAACAACCCAGACCGCCAGCUAAGGUCCCAAAGUCAUGGUUAAGUGGGAAACGAUGUGGGAAGGCCCAGACAGCCAGGAUGUUGGCUUAGAAGCAGCCAUCAUUUAAAGAAAGCGUAA